rnacentral:siRNA from 1 species
CGAUGGUGGUGACGUUGCUCCU